rnacentral:lncRNA from 1 species
GGGUCAAAGUGAAAAUGCAUGCUAAAAAUGAUAUUUGUACAUUUUCAGUAAAUUGUAAAGCAUUAAAAUUUCUUGCAGGGUUGCCACAUGAAUACUUUUUCUCUAAUUCUUAGGCAAUUAAACCCUUUUUGACCCAUUGUAUAAAAUGAUUUAAUCAACGUGUGGUUGCCAAUGAUCUCAAUGGUUGGCCGAGUUUAAGGAUCGUAAUCUUUAUCUGCUCCCUGGAUGUAUUGAAAUGUGUUAACAGGUGUUAGAGAAAUUGACAAUUUCAUCAAAUGUGGAAGGUGCAAAAAGGGAUUUUUCGUUCAUCAAAAAGAAAAUUUAUUUGAUAAUCAUUAGGGAAACAGAUUUAUGCAUAGUUAUUUGCGGAUUGUCAGAUUUAUCCCAUUUUUAAAGUCCUUGCCAAGUCUCAGAAUUAAAAAUUUGAUCAUUAAACCACAUGGAUCUUGAUUGGAUAAAUUCUAUAACUCACUGGCACCAAUGUAUAUUUAUCAAAUUUAUGCACAAUUAUUCCCUGAAGAAUACUCAUUUUCAUCCUGUUAAGUUUAUAUUUAAGUCACAAUGCCAGGCUCACAUAUUUAUUUUAAAAAAUCCUCCUGUCACAGAAAAACGCUGCAGUUCUUUUAAAAAACUCAACUACUGUAUCAAAAGCCUGUCAACAUGCAUGAGAUUGUGAGUGCAAUCUUAAUUGACUAUAAGUGUUGGUUUUCCCACUGAAGGUCUGUUGUUAUAUCCAAACUCUUUAAGCUUCCUCCACCAAUAAAAAAUGACUGCUACCAAAACAAAAGUGUUGAAAGUGGCAUUAAAACCAAAAAUAAAUCAAUGAAUCACAUUCAUUAUAGAAUGUAAAAUAAAUAGGUAUUUCUAAAAAUUGCAUUAAUAAAUUUUUAAUUUGCUUACUUAUUAUGUUUCUGUGACCAUUAAAACUUAAUUUAAUUAUGUGGGAACAAAACCAAUUUUGAUUAUCAAGUAAUACGUGGUGUAAAUAUUCCACAUCUUGGGUGAAUUUUUGGUUUUUGAUAACAAAUUGUUGCUGAAUUCUGUAAAUGGUUUUGUUUAUUCGUUUCACUGUUUGUAAUUAUAAUAUCUUUGAAAAUUUCUAUCUAUUGAAAAUUUAAUCCUGAUUAUUGAUUAUCUAUUGUUUUGGAAACAAGAGUGAAAUUCUAGGAUGCAAUCUCAUCGAAGGCUGUAAGGCGCCAACCCCUGAGAUGAAUUGUAGCCUAGAAAACCACUCUCGUUUCUAAAACUGUAGAUAAUUAUCGAUGAUUUUUUCGCUUGAGCCAAUACGGUGAAAAGGAGAAAAGCAAUCGAGUUGAGAUGACCAAUGAUAAUCUGUUCAUCGCUAUUUUACCUAUAACGAUGUCAUUUUCAUUAGCAACGACAUGUGCCUCCUUAGUUUCUAGCGAUAAUUUUCCAUCUCAAGCAAGUAGCAUGAUAAUUAUGAAAAAUUAUCCCCCCAAAAAAUCAAAGGAAAAAUGCACAAAAUAGCGAUAAUCUAUAAUUAUUAGGAAUGAAAAAUUUGAUAGACAGAACUUUUCAAAAAGAUCAUGAUUUAUGUGUUUACAGAUUUUUCUAAAGCAAUGUUAUUGGCACAUUAUGUAGUCUCAUUCCCAAAUCUAUUUCACCAAGAGAGAAUAAAAUUCUUAUUCAAGUAGCUUGUGACGAAAAAUGAUUAAACAAAAUUCAAAGAUUUAUGAAAAUAGCAAUAUAAAAGAAAUACAUUACAUUUUACACAACAUGCAUGUACAAUGAUG